UGGUCAGUAUGCAAAUUGGCUGAAGCGAGCGGGUUGUAACCCCGUAGUGUAAUAACCGUUGUAGGUUCAAAUCCUACCUGGCCAACCA
rnacentral:tRNA from 1 species